GGAGCAAACCAGCUGAUAUCUAACAACUCUGUUUCGGAUACAAAGAAGGGGAUGGAAAAUAGGAAGAAAGGGAGGGAAGAUAGGACUGAGAAAGAGAGAGAUAGAAGAAUUGGAGACAGAGAAGAAGAACUGUGAAAGAACAGAGAAAGAGAAUGAGAAAUAGGGAAUCAGAGAGAGAAUUAGAUACCCUGGAAAUAGGGUUUCAGCUUCGAGGAAAGAAAUGGUGGAAAGGAAGAAAUAGAAAGAGAUCAGAGAAAGAAGUUAGAGAA
rnacentral:misc_RNA from 1 species